AAGCCUCCAGUUCCGUCCACUAGAUUAUACGUCACGCAAGAAGCAUCACCUGAAAGACUCAUAUCGCCAUCUGCUGACUGGAGUGGGCAAUGCGGAGUAGGCAAUGCAGAUUGGAAAAAUAUUAAUUACAAUGUUCAUUCUGGCAAGCAAUGUCAUAAGAAGUAAUUUAAAAACAACCAGAUGUUAUUUUUUCUCUUACUUCUUACAGCCAAUCAUUUCCUCCAGGUCUGGCCUGCCCAUUAGGCAGGAUUAGGUGACAGAUUGACGAGGGUGGUGUAUUCCGAGCUAAAUUGAUCAAGGCCCAUUGUUAACAACACAUAAUAACACUUCAUAUAAUGAAGCAGUGCCCACUUUGCAUAAGGCUACAUGGACAGAUAGGGCUCUACCUGUGUAGAGCACAUGACCCUUUACCCUUCCUGUCUCUAAAGUGCCCUUUUGGGUGGUGGUAUAAUUUGGAUUCAUUUUUUCUCAUAGUUAUACUGAACCCACUGCCUGCAAGUCGUCGUUAAAUUAGCCUCAGUGAUUUGUAUUUUCCUUCAGCUUUGUUCCUGUUCCCAAGAAAGCUAAUGUAGCAGUGUGAUGUUGUUACCCUAGAUUGUGCGCCAAAUUGCACACAAGGACCAAUUCAAAUAGGCCAGGUCAAUAGGGGAUGUUAAUAAUUUGAUAAUAAUAAUAAUUCAGUGUGUUUUUUAAAUUUAAUUACAGCUGCAUAGGUAAUGUUAUUUUUUGGUGUACAAACACUUUUUCAUAUCAAUCUUGUACAUACACGUGAUUGUAAAAGUUUUGUAUAUUUUGGUUUGGCCCAUUGCGGGUUAUUUGUAUUACCGUACCCCCUUAUUGUUCUCUUUUGUCUGACCUUCGGCUAGCAAGUUAUGUUGUCCUUGGCUCCGAAAUUGUUCAAUAUAAAACCGUGGUAAUGUUACACAAUGUGCUGUUAUGCAACCAUAAGUUUGUUACAAUGUGGACAAUAUAAAGAUUUAUGUUAAGUUUCACUGAGCUCGCUAACUAGGGUACCUACUGUAACUUGUGAGUACUUGGGACAGUGUUUGAGUGACUGUCCAUGUGCUUGCGCACGUGCCUGAGAGCUGUGACAGCGCCAAGGGAUAAAGUAUUGUGUGUUGUCUCUUCGUGUGCAGGUGCCUGAGAGCUGUGACUGCGCCAAGGGCUAAAGUAUUGUGUGUUAUCUCUUCGUGUGCAGGGCAAAUAAAAAUAAUUCAACCAGCAGA